rnacentral:lncRNA from 1 species
UUCUUUCAAAGCGCUUGAUAACACUAGUUUACUUGGGCUGAUGUGGUUGUGGGGAGUUCACUUGUUUGGUUCUCUUUACCUUUGUUGUUCUCCUUCGAGGAGUAGAAGUUGGGAUUAGGCUUAAAGGUAACCCUUGCUACAUGAUGGGAGUAUUUCCAAGAAGCUUAAGCUAUAGAUAACGGUGGAAGGGAAAUAAGAGAGAGUAGGGGAUGAAAUGUUGGCAUUGCAGCAUGCAUUUGGUGGACUAUCUGGCUGAAAAGGAAUUCAAGAUGUUUUGAAGGCUCUGCAAAUCCUGAACAGAAGAUUAGAAUGAAUUGUAUAUCUUUGUUUCACUUUUGGUGUGAAGUGCUUUAGUACAAGAUGUAGAGUCUCUAGUUGAUCUCAUUGGGUCCUUGUAAAUGACACAAGAUUUGUUCUUCUAUGCUUGUUUUUGUUCAUCUUCCUCUUAUUUUGGAUGUCUUGUAACUAGGGACCUUUCUCUCAGCACUAUCUUGG